rnacentral:lncRNA from 1 species
AUAACAUUUAACUGAUGAUGUCAUGAAGUUCUAAUAAAGUGUCAUUCCUUUGGAAAGCAAGGGAUUCCCACUUGCAGAGUUUUAAGAUGAAAGUAGCAAGUUUAUCCAAAAGGUGGGACCAGGGACGCAAGCAGUGUCUUCAGAAGCUGAUCCGUUUCAACAUGUACCCAGAGUGACGGCACCUUUUAUAGGACACGAUGCCAAUAGUGUGCCAAGUAACAGAACAAGGCUGGCUAUACACUACCUGAGAUCAGUUUUCGGAGCUGAGCACUGAGGACCACACCUAUAAGUGUCUGGAUGGGACAAGCAAUUCCGUUCCUAAAUCCUUCCUAUGAAAGAAGCUGUGUUGGUUAGAUGCUUAAAGAAGACCCUGACAACCUCACAGAGAUGCCUGCCUUUGGUGCAAGUUUCCAGGUGAUCCAAGGGAUCCACUCCUAGAGUUUCAUCAGAGAAUACCUUCUGCAACUUGUGCCCCUCCUCUGUCCCCAGAACUACAGACCUGUCACUCGAGCAGCUUUUGGGACAAGGGUGGAGAAGGAUGGUAGACAUAGGAACCCAUAAAGUAGCCAGAAAGCCAGCCAUACUCCUCAGCCUCUCAAAUGCCACCUCACACUUGUGCCCACACCUCCCAGGGGUCCCCAGUGCCUGGUCCAUCAGCCCCCCUCUUCAUGUCACCUGCUUGGCCCUGUGGACACUGAAGGUCAAGGACACCCACACAAGGUCACACCAGCAGCAUGCUGGCGUGUCUUGGCUCAGAAACCCUGGGAACCUAUGAAGACUCUUUUUUUUUUCUUCAUUUCAUGUUUUUUUCUGUGAGAAAUAGGAAGGUGAUGGACUGGACUACAGAUUGAAACCUAAAAGAUACAAGGACCAGAAAUUUUUUUCAUAUUGGAUUAACAGAGUAAAGAAUUGAUCUAGUUGGUCUAUAGCCCUGGACUGGGAUUCCAAUUAAACAAUAAAGUCCUAAA